CGGGGUGAGUAAUGUAUGGGGAUCUGCCUGAUGGCGGGGGAUAACUACUGGAAACGGUAGCUAAUACCGCAUAACGUCGCAAGACCAAAGAGGGGACCUUCGGGCCUCUUGCCAUCGGAUGUGCCCAGAUGGGAUUAGCUAGUAGGUGGGGUAAUGGCUCACCUAGGCGACGAUCCCUAGCUGGUCUGAGAGGAUGACCAGCCACACUGGAACUGAGACACGGUCCAG
rnacentral:rRNA from 1 species